GACAGAGGUGCCGAGCGUUAGGCGGAAUCACUGGGCUUAAAGCGCACGUAGGCGGACUCUUAAGUCAGGGGUGAAAUCCUGGAGCUCAACUCCAGAACUGCCUUUGAUACUGAGGAUCUUGAGUUCGGGAGAGGUGAGUGGAACUGCGAGUGUAGAGGUGAAAUUCGUAGAUAUUCGCAAGAACACCAGUGGCGAAGGCGGCUCACUGGCCCGAUACUGACGCUGAGGCACGAAAGCGUGGGGAGCAAACAGGG
rnacentral:rRNA from 1 species